rnacentral:tRNA from 1 species
GCUGACUUGGCUUAGUGGUUGAGCUGGGAGGUAUGUAUGCCCUGGGUUCAAAUCCCAGAAGUCACGUA